GUAUAAUACCCGACUGCUCUGUGUUACUGAGGGGGGCUCUUGGAAAUACGUCAUGGAUAUCUCAGGUCACAUGUUCAUGAUGGUAUUUUGCAAUCUUUUCAUCACCAAAACUCUCGACGAAAUCAACCAGCAGCAAGAUAAAGAUCCACUACAACUAGCCCACGUGAUAUUACACGCGGUCUGCAGACUAUUUGUUAUCCUGUUUGAUAUCAUGAUGGUGUUUACCAUCCUUUACUGGCACUCGCCCCCCGAGAAGAUACUGGGCACUUUAACUGGUGUUCUGGGAUACUUCUUACUCUUUAAACAGUUGUCUAGCUUUAUUCCUACUAAUUGGGUGUAAUUAGCUUUAUUCCUACUAAUUGGGUGUAAUUAGCUUUAUUCCUACUAAUUGGGUGUAAUUAGCUUUAUUCCUACUAAUUGGGUGUAAUUAGCUUUAUUCCUACUAAUUGGGUGUAAUUAGCUUUAUUCCUACUAAUUGGGUGUAAUUAGCUUUAUUCCUACUAAUUGGGUGUAAUUAGCUUUAUUCCUACUAAUUGGGUGUAAUUAGUUGAUCCGUGGUGUUUUUGUUAUUAUAUUUAAAAUUGAGCUAAAUUAUUGGUUUAUUUCAUUUAGUUUAGAAGAAAUAAUAUAGUUUCAUAACCAGAGCAUCUAUUUUAUAAACAACAAGGUAUUUAGGUUUGUAAAACCUGUUACAACAAAUUCUUCAGUUUUCUCUAUUUCAUCAUGACCUGUGUGUUGAAAGCCUGUAUUUAUUACGCUCAGUUCCCCUUACCUCAGAGCACGUAGUGAUGUACUGCUUUUCAAGGGUACGUGCUUGUACGUAUACUAGUAACACACUCUAGAUAUAGGUGGGAGACGUAGCUUUCUACACCAUUAUCUUAUGUGUGAUAAUGAUAAUAUACUCCUUUAUAAAACUAUCUUUCCCGGUAUGUAACUCUGAUUUUUCUCCUAUUGAACGUGAGGUGGAGUGUGCUUGUGUUGAUUUGUGUACUGUUGAACAUGUUGAUAUGUGUAAUGUGUACUGUUGAACAUGUUGAUAUGUUUACUGUUGAACAUGUUGAUAUGUGUAGUGUGUACUGUUGAACAUGUUGAACUACGUGUUUCACUUACCAUUCUAGUCAAGUAGCUACUAUAACAUAAUAAUAGGGAUAAUAAUAUGUGACGUGAGACGGUAAUUUGAGACAGUGAUUUGCCUUACGUCUAGUACGUAGGGGUUUUUGUUUUGGCUUUUGGAUGUUAUUACGAUACUCUUCUUUAAGCUUAUGACUUCUAUCUUAUUAUCAUAUCCUAGCGCUAGUGUAUAUUAUGGUAUAGUUUAAUCAUUAUCUAAGUUUAUCUGGGCAAAUAUGUAUUUUUCAUAGUUUAUGCAAGUUUUUUAGUUUUUAUAAUUUAGGUUUUUGCGUUUAAGUUUAAUAAGAGUGGGCUAUUUUAUUUUCCUUAGUUAUUACAGUGGGUAACUUGAACU